AACGAACGCUGGCGGCAUGCCUAACACAUGCAAGUCGAACGAGAUCUUCGGGUCUAGUGGCGCACGGGUGCGUAACGCGUGGGAAUCUGCCUUUGGUUCGGAAUAACAGUUGGAAACGACUGCUAAUACCGGAUGAUGACGAAAGUCCAAAGAUUUAUCGCCAGAGGAUGAGCCCGCGUAGGAUUAGCUAGUUGGGGUGGUAAAGGCGCACCAAGGCGACGAUCCUUAGCUGGUCUGAGAGGAUGAUCAGCCACACUGGGACUGAGACACGGCCCAGACUCCUACGGGAGGCAGCAGUGGGGAAUAUUGGACAAUGGGCGAAAGCCUGAUCCAGCAAUGCCGCGUGAGUGAUGAAGGCCUUAGGGUUGUAAAGCUCUUUUACCCGGGAUGAUAAUGACAGUACCGGGAGAAUAAGCUCCGGCUAACUCCGUGCCAGCCGCCGCGGUAAUAC
rnacentral:rRNA from 1 species